rnacentral:rRNA from 1 species
CAAUAGCGUAUAUUAUUGAUGUUGCAGUUAAAACGUUCGUAGUCGAACUUUAUGUGCUUGGAUAUUAUAUUGUCACUGACGAUGUAGUAUUUCAGCACAAAUAAUGCAACUUGAAUCUUUGAUUCUUUUUGCAUCUUACUUUGAGUGAAUCGGCGUGUUCCACGCAGGCCUCCGCCUUGAACGAUUUACCAUAGCAUAAACAGAGUAUGGAAUUGUCUUCUUGUUUGUUCAGAGACAUUUCCGAUACUGAUAAGAACGGUUGAGGGCAUUCGUAUUCAACUGCCAGAGGUGAGAUUCUUUGAUUAGUUGAGGACGAACUAUUGCGAAAGCAUCUGCCAAGGACGUUUCUUUUGA